AACGAACGCUGGCGGCAGGCCUAACACAUGCAAGUCGAACGCACCGCAAGGUGAGUGGCGCACGGGUGAGUAACACGUGGGAAUGUACCCUUUGGUUCGGAAUAACGUUUGGAAACGAACGCUAAUACCGGAUGAGCCCUGUGGGGGAAAGAUUUAUCGCCAAAGGAGCAGCCCGCGUCUGAUUAGCUAGUUGGUGGGGUAAAGGCCUACCAAGGCGACGAUCAGUAGCUGGUCUGAGAGGAUGAUCAGCCACACUGGGACUGAGACACGGCCCAGACUCCUACGGGAGGCAGCAGUGGGGAAUAUUGGACAAUGGGCGGAAGCCUGAUCCAGCCAUGCCGCGUGAGUGAUGAAGGCCUUCGGGUUGUAAAGCUCUUUCGCACGCGACGAUGAUGACGGUAGCGUGAGAAGAAGCCCCGGCUAACUUCGUGCCAGCAGCCGCGGUAAU
rnacentral:rRNA from 1 species